rnacentral:ncRNA from 19 species
AAUUGAGUUAGAGGUUGCAUGUUUAAUUAGUAACUUGUCAGAAGUAUUUAUGGUACAUAAGUUGAACAAGUGAAAGGUAAAGAUGCCGAAAUAGAUAUAAACCAUAAAUUAUAUCUAUUGGGACAGUUUUCGAAUAGGAACUGUACUGUCACAGAAUGUGAUGUGCUACCUUAUAU